rnacentral:rRNA from 1 species
AUGGGCCACUUCUCCGCCUUCCCAGUCCCCCGGUCGACGUGGUCGCGACCCUUCUCGAGGCAGCUUGGCCGCCGCCGGUUCUGGAGGUGGUUGGGGUCGUGGAUCUGGGCAAAGUCGUGGCCUUUGGUGGCUUCGUGGUGUUCUCAUGGCGGGGCGGCGGCCCUGGUGGUGGGAGUUGCGCCGGUCAUGGGCGGAUUGCGCCGCUCAGAUGCGGGCAGGCAACCAUGGCCGCUCGGGCGGCAUGGUUGCGGGUGUUGGCGGACCGGGGUGGCGGCGGGGGAUUUGAUGCACCAGCGUGAAAACUUGAUUUUCGGAUCGGACGGUGGCGACGUUCGUGCUCUUCCUGGAGGCACCGUCUUGGAGUCCUCGAUCUGGCUUGUCCGUCGCACAUCCUCCCGGACGGUCGCUCCUUGUGGUGGUGGUUGUGUGUCGGUGCCCGACAUUCGUGUAUCUUGCCUUGGGAAGCGUCGCCGGCGUGCGGCGGUGGCAUUGGAUGAUAUCGCCGGCCCGGUGGCACCCCCGUUCUCUUCCCCCCUCUGGGCGUCGCUUUCGGAGGAUUUGGUUUGCGAGAUAGCUUGGAGUGUGCUCUCGAGCAGUUUUCUCGACUACGCGCGCUUUCGCGCCGUUUGCCGUAGUUGGUGGUCUGGCACCGUGUGCCCGCGCGGCCGCGGCGUCGCCGAUCCGCGCUUCUACCCGCGCCGCUGGAUGAUGCUGCCGGAGGGCCAUGGCCUCUACCCCGGCCACCGCAAGCUGUGUGCAGCCACGUCCGCUUCUUCAACCUCGACACGGGAACCUUCGUCCGCGUCAACCUCCCGCUGUUCAACAACCACUGCGCUCUUGACUCGGUCGUCGGCCUCCUCCUCCAGACGGACGAGGACACUUGCUCCGCCCCGUGCUCCGUCCUGCCGCUGGGAGCAGCGUCCGGUGACCCCUAGUUGCUCCGCCCCGACCUCCGUCCUGCUGCCGGGAGCAGCGGUCGGUGACCCCCAGUUGAUCACCACAGUCCCUGGUUCAGUACCGGAUCGACCUCAAGCACACCGGAUCUGGACACCUCGAGAGGAGAUUGACAUCUUGACCAUCCCUGCACCUCAUCCCUGA